CCAACGCCUGGCUGGGAGCAGCCGCCGCGGAGGUCUCUGGCCAGUAUCGCUUCCACCUGUCCACAAACAUGGGGAAUAUCUUUGCAAACCUCUUCAAGGGCCUUUUUGGCAAAAAAGAAAUGCGCAUUCUCAUGGUGGGCCUGGAUGCUGCAGGGAAGACAACAAUUCUAUACAAACUGAAGCUGGGCGAAAUUGUGACCACCAUUCCCACCAUUGGCUUGAUCUUCGUAGUGGACAGCAAUGACAGAGAGCGUGUGAACGAGGCCCGUGAAGAGCUUAUGAGGAUGCUAGCUGAAGAUGAGCUCCGAGAUGCCGUUCUCUUGGUGUUUGCCAACAAGCAGGACCUCCCCAAUGCCAUGAAUGCGGCCGAAAUCACAGACAAGCUGGGGCUGCACUCUCUACGCCACAGGAACUGGUACAUUCAGGCUACCUGUGCCACCAGCGGAGACGGGCUCUAUGAAGGACUAGAUUGGCUGUCUAAUCAGCUCCGGAACCAGAAGUGAACCAGACCCCUCCUUCCCCCUCACUUCCUCUUCUCCGCCCUCAGCUUUCCUCUCAUGUGGCAAACGUGCGACUCUGUGGUCCUGAGUGCCAGAAGCUGUCUCCAUGGGUUGGUCACAGUGUGCAUCGCACCGUGCUGUACAUGUGCAGACGCAGCCUGCAGCCAGGUUUUUAUUUAAUGUAAAUAGUUUCUGUUUCCACUGAGGCAGUUUCUGGUACUCCUAUGCAAUAUUACUUAGCUUUUUUAUUGUAAAAAGAGAAUCAACUCACUGUCAGUACUGAGAAGGGAUUUGGGUGUAGGGGCACCUGGCCUCCGGGAGCCAUUGGGCUGUAGACUGGUGUCGGUAUCCAUUUGGUGGUUGGUUUUUAACCCAAACUCAGUGCAUUUUUUAAAAAUAGUUUAAAACACAGGACAAGAACACUUGAACACACAGAACGGAGACUAUGCCUAGUGUAGGUUUUGCAGUUAAUGGCCUGAAUGCUAGUUAUCAGAUCACCUGUUUCCCUGUGGGG
rnacentral:lncRNA from 1 species